rnacentral:rRNA from 1 species
GAGAGUUAAACAGUACCGUGAAAUUUGUUGAAAAGGGAAGCGCUUGCAGCCAGACUUGCCUGCGGGGUGAUCAGCCGGUAUUUCUUACCGGUGCACUUGCCCGUGGUCAGGCCAGCAUCGGUUUGGGCGGUUGGAUAAAGUCCCCCGGAACGUAGCUCCUCUCGGGGAGUGUUAUAGCCGGGGGUGCAAUGCAACCUGCCUGGACCGAGGACCGCGCUUCGGCUAGGAUGCUGGCGUAAUGGUUGUAAGCGACCCGUCUUGAAACACGGACCAAGGAGUCUAACAUCUAUGCGAGUGUUUGGGUGUCAAACCCAUGCGCGUAAUGAAAGUGAACGGAGGUGGGAACCCUCAAGGGUGCACCAUCGACCGAUCCUGAUGUCUUCGGAUGGAUUUGAGUAAGAGCAUGGCUGUUGGGACCCGAAAGAUGGUGAACUAUGCCUGAAUAGGGUGAAGCCAGAGGAAACUCUGGUGGAGGCUCGCAGCGGUUCUGACGUGCAAAUCGAUCGUCAAAUUUGGGUAUAGGGGCGAAAGACUAAUCGAACCAUCUGUUACUAGAUGGCAUACGGGCCGGCAGCGCCCGAGUAGUCCCCGCACAGCGGGGGCGACAUCGUCGGUCUUCCGGGGCGCCUCUGGGCCACCCGCAGUGAGCUCUCGGGCUCAUUUGGCGGUGGCCGUGCAUGGGAGCGUGGUUAGGAUAUAGCC